rnacentral:misc_RNA from 1 species
GAUGAAGAACGCAGCGAAAUGCGAUAAGUAAUGUGCAUUGCAGAAUUCAGUGAAUCAUCGAAUCUUUGAACGCACAUUGCGCCCGCCAGUAUUCUGGCGGGCAUGCCUGUUCGAGCGUCAUUUCAACCAUCAAGCCCCCGGCUUGUGUUGGGGACCUGCGGCUGCCGCAGGCCCUGAAAACCAGUGGCGGGCUCGCUAGUCACUCCGAGCGUAGUAGUUACAUCUCGCUCAGGGCGUGCUGCGGGUUCCGGCCGUUAAAAGCCUUAUUUACCCAAGGUUGACCUCGGAUCAGGUAGGAAGACCCGCUGAACUUAAGCAUAUCAAUAAGCGGAGGA